rnacentral:pre_miRNA from 1 species
AAUGAAAUUGCUGGGUCAUAUGGUAAUUCCAUGUUUAACAUUUGAAGGAACUGCCAAACUGUUUUCCAAAGUACAUGUACCAUUUCACAUUCCCACUAGCAAU